rnacentral:rRNA from 1 species
UACGGAGGGUGCAAGCGUUAAUCGGAAUUACUGGGCGUAAAGCGCACGCAGGUGGCUGAGUCAGUCGAUUGUGAAAGCCCUGGGCUUAACCUAGGAAUUGCAGUCGAUACUACUCAGCUAGAGUAUGGGAGAGGGCAGUGGAAUUCCCGGUGUAGCGGUGAAAUGCGUAGAUAUCGGGAGGAACAUCAGUGGCGAAGGCGGCUGCCUGGCCCAAUACUGACACUCAGGUGCGAAAGCGUGGGGAGCAAACAGG